AGGUCAAUGUUUCGAAGUCCGUCUGGGAGUUAAGUCCGUCUAGCGGCAAUUACUUCCAUAUUUGAACGACUAGUUUCAUAUGGCUCAGUGGGUAAAACAAUAUUGCAAAGUUAGUUUGAUCUAAGAAACAGACAUGUCGCUACUAACUACCUGUUAC